CCAGUCGUACCUUCGGGUAAUCAGCCUUUCGGGUGCGAUUCUGUGGAGUGUGAGGAGCUUAAACACCUUCAUGUUUUGCAUAUUCGUACUCUUGGGUGUACUUGCCCGUGUGGUUGGUUAACAUCAAUUUUGGUGGUCAUAAAAUGACUGGAGGAAUGUAGCUUCGAUCUUGUAUUGAAGUGUUAUAGCCUUCGGUAGAUCUGAUGAUCGAGAUUGAGGAUUGCAACGGAUACCCUUCGGGGCUACCUGUCUGGUCUCUGAUCGUUGCUCUGGUGCCGAAAGCUUGCUUACGGUUAUCAAAGUCGAUGGUCAAUAGGUUAGAAUGGGUUAAA
rnacentral:rRNA from 1 species